UACGGAGGGAGCGAGCGUUAUCCGGAAUUAUUGGGCGUAAAGGGUGCGUAGAUGGUUGAUAUAAGUCUUUUGUAAAAAUGCUAGGCUCAACCUAGUAGGGCAAAAGAUACUGAUGAACUAGAGUACGGCAGAGGCAAGUGGAACUCCAUGUGUAGCGGUGGAAUGCGUAGAUAUAUGGAAGAACACCAGUGGCGAAGGCGGCUGUCUGGUCUGCAACUGACGCUGAGGCUCGAAAGCAUGGGUAGCGAACAGG
rnacentral:rRNA from 1 species